CCUACGGGAGGCAGCAGUGGGGCAUAUUUGGCCAUGGGCGCAAGCCUGACCCAGCAACGCCGCGUGAAGGAAGAAGGCUUUCGGGUUGUAAACUUCUUUUCUCAGGGACGAGGAAAGUGACGGUACCUGAGGAAUAAGCCACGGCUAACUACGUGCCAGCAGCCGCGGUAAUACGUAGGUGGCAAGCGUUAGCCGGAGUUACUGGGGGUAAAGGGCGUGUAGGCGGGACUGCAAGUAAGAUGUGAAAACCACGGGCUCAACCUGUAGCCUGCAUUUGAAACUGUAGUUCGUGAGUACUGGAGAGGCAGACGGAAUUCCUAGUGUAGCGGUGAAAGGCGUAGAUAUUAGGAGGAACACCAGUGGCGAAGGCGGUCUGCUGGACAGCAACUGACGCUGAGGCGCGAAAGCGUGGGGAGCAAACAGGAUUAGAUACCCUGGUAGUC
rnacentral:rRNA from 1 species